ACCCCACUAUGCCCUACCGUAAACUUUAAACUACAUUUUCAUCGCCUGGGAACUACGAGCAAAGCUUAAAACCCAAAGGACUUGACGGUACCCCACAUCCGCCUAGAGGAGCCUGUUCUAUAAUCGAUAAUCCCCGUUUAACCUCACCAUUUUUAGCCUAACAGCCUGUAUACCUCCGUCGUCAGCUUACCACGUGAGCGAUUCUUAGUGAGCUUAAUGUUUAUACACCAACACGUCAGGUCAAGGUGCAGCAAAUAAAAUGGGAAGAAAUGGGCUACACUCUCUAUUUUAGAGUAUACGAAAAACUAUAUAUGAAACCUAGUUAGAAGGAGGAUUUAGUAGUAAAAGGAGACAAGAGAGCUCCUUUUAACACGGCACUGGGGUGUGUACACACCGCCCGUCACCCUCUUCGAAGCCAACAAAAAGUUCAUAACACAUUCAAGCCUAAGAGAAGAGACAAGUCGUAACAUGGUAAGUGUACCGGAAGGUGUACUUGGAAA
rnacentral:rRNA from 1 species